AGCUGAUCCAGAUCAACCUCCACCACUCUAAACUCGCGUCUGCGAACCUUGAGGUCCGCCUGGCUGCCGGUGGACUCGACGUUGCCCUCAUCCAGGAACUGUGGAUACACGGCAAUAAAAUCUGCGGACUUGGGAUGAAGGGCUUUAAGCUUAUUGCCGCACAAAAUGCAGCUUAGUGACGGCGAUCUGGUAGUGGCAAGCAUUGAGCUGGACAAAACCAGCUUUUGGGUAGCCUCUGCCUACAUGGCCCAUGACAAGGA